rnacentral:rRNA from 1 species
GGAAUAUUGCGCAAUGGCCGAAAGGCUGACGCAGCGACGCCGCGUGUGGGAGGAAGCCCUUCGGGGUGUAAACCACUGUCAGAAGGGAAGAAACGCGUGCUCUCAAACAGGGAGUGCGUUUGACAGUACCUUCAGAGGAAGCGCCGGCUAACUCCGUGCCCGCAGCCGCGGUAAGACGGAGGGCGCAAGCGUUGUUCGGAAUUACUGGGCGUAAAGCGCGCGCAGGCGGUCUUCUAAGUCCCUUGUGAAAUUCCGGGGCUCAACCCCGGAGAUGCGUGGGAGACUGGUUGACUAGAGACCGGUAGAGGCUAGCGGAAUUCCUGGUGUAGCGGUGGAAUGCGUAGAUAUCAGGAGGAACACCGGUGGCGAAGGCGGCUAGCUGGGCCGGUUCUGACGCUCAUGUGCGAAAGCGUGGGGAGCAAAC